AGAGUUUGAUCCUGGCUCAGGAUGAACGCUAGCUACAGGCUUAACACAUGCAAGUCGAGGGGCAGCAUUUUAGUUUGCUUGCAAACUGAAGAUGGCGACCGGCGCACGGGUGAGUAACACGUAUCCAACCUGCCGAUAACUCCGGGAUAGCCUUUCGAAAGAAAGAUUAAUACCGGAUGGCAUACGAAUAUCGCAUGAUAUUUUUAUUAAAGAAUUUCGGUUAUCGAUGGGGAUGCGUUCCAUUAGUUUGUUGGCGGGGUAACGGCCCACCAAGACUACGAUGGAUAGGGGUUCUGAGAGGAAGGUCCCCCACAUUGGAACUGAGACACGGUCCAAACUCCUACGGGAGGCAGCAGUGAGGAAUAUUGGUCAAUGGGCGCGAGCCUGAACCAGCCAAGUAGCGUGAAGGAUGAAGGCUCUAUGGGUCGUAAACUUCUUUUAUAUGGGAAUAAAGUUUUCCACGUGUGGAAUUUUGUAUGUACCAUAUGAAUAAGGAUCGGCUAACUCCGUGCCAGCAGCCGCGGUAAUACGGAGGAUCCGAGCGUUAUCCGGAUUUAUUGGGUUUAAAGGGAGCGUAGGUGGAUUGUUAAGUCAGUUGUGAAAGUUUGCGGCUCAACCGUAAAAUUGCAGUUGAAACUGGCAGUCUUGAGUACAGUAGAGGUGGGCGGAAUUCGUGGUGUAGCGGUGAAAUGCUUAGAUAUCACGAAGAACUCCGAUUGCGAAGGCAGCUCACUAGACUGUCACUGACACUGAUGCUCGAAAGUGUGGGUAUCAAACAGGAUUAGAUACCCUGGUAGUCCACACAGUAAACGAUGAAUACUCGCUGUUUGCGAUAUACAGUAAGCGGCCAAGCGAAAGCAUUAAGUAUUCCACCUGGGGAGUACGCCGGCAACGGUGAAACUCAAAGGAAUUGACGGGGGCCCGCACAAGCGGAGGAACAUGUGGUUUAAUUCGAUGAUACGCGAGGAACCUUACCCGGGCUUAAAUUGCAACAGAAUAUAUUGGAAACAGUAUAGCCGUAAGGCUGUUGUGAAGGUGCUGCAUGGUUGUCGUCAGCUCGUGCCGUGAGGUGUCGGCUUAAGUGCCAUAACGAGCGCAACCCUUAUCUUUAGUUACUAACAGGUCAUGCUGAGGACUCUAGAGAGACUGCCGUCGUAAGAUGUGAGGAAGGUGGGGAUGACGUCAAAUCAGCACGGCCCUUACGUCCGGGGCUACACACGUGUUACAAUGGGGGGUACAGAAGGCGGCUACCUGGUGACAGGAUGCUAAUCCCAAAAACCUCUCUCAGUUCGGAUCGAAGUCUGCAACCCGACUUCGUGAAGCUGGAUUCGCUAGUAAUCGCGCAUCAGCCAUGGCGCGGUGAAUACGUUCCCGGGCCUUGUACACACCGCCCGUCAAGCCAUGAAAGCCGGGGGUACCUGAAGUACGUAACCGCAAGGAGCGUCCUAGGGUAAAACUGGUAAUUGGGGCUAAGUCGUAACAAGGUAGCCGUACCGGAAGGUGCGGCUG
rnacentral:rRNA from 1 species